CUUAGAAACCAACUUGAAAACUUCAUUGCUGAUGUGAGAGCUGAUUCAAGUUUUGUUAGUUGUAAUGAUCUUGGUAGUCUUGCUGUGAAGAUGGUUCGGACUGAUAGACACAUGGUCUUUCCUUUGGUAUAUCGUCUUAUUGAGUUGGCAUUGAUUUUGCCUGUUGCAACCGCAUCAGUGGAAAGAGCUUUCUCAGCUAUGAGUAUUAUCAAGACUGAGUUGGGGAAUAAGAUGGGUGAUGAUUGGUUGAAUUUUUCCAUGGUCUGCAAUAUUGAGCGAGAAAUAUUUGCAAAGGUUGAUGAUGAUGCUAUUAUAUAUCGCUUUCAAUCCUAUAGAUGUCGCAAAGGAACUUUACCU
rnacentral:rRNA from 1 species